rnacentral:lncRNA from 1 species
UGUAUUGAUCUUCCAUUACACCUCUCACAAGUAUACGGACAAUCAAAAAACAGAUGAUGCAAAGUCUCCAGCGGUUCCUGACAGAGUACACACGAUGCAUCAACGUUUUCAUUCCACUUCCUCAUUCUAUCACCUGUUGAAAGCCUCCCAUGCAUUGCUAUCCAAGUAAUAAACGAGAACUUGGGAGUUGCAUGCUUAAACCAUACUGCUUGAUACCAGUCACAGAUCGGAGCGUCUUCUCUUAUGUUCAGCCAAGUUCCUCGAGUGGAGAAUUUCUCUUUAUAUUUCUCUUUCUCAUUCUUCCAUAGAGACACAUCUUUCUCUUGAAACAAGCUUGCUUUGUAUCUGUCUAUCUCAACUUCCACUCUGUUCAGAAUGUGGACCCGAUAUUGCCUCCUCCUGUGGUUUCUGCUAUCAGCCACAGUCGCAUUUGCCGGGAUUCCUAAAUCUAUAUAACCUCCCUCUCUUAAAACCUCCUGC